rnacentral:lncRNA from 1 species
UAGAAUAUUAUUACCAUGAUCCCCAGAUGUGCAGGUCAGACAGAACUACCUGAAAACCUCAUAGCUCUGUUCAGACAGAACCUGUGGCAUGGCUGUCCCUGACAUUGAACUGAUCUCUGAAAUUACGUUGGUUGCUGAAGGGUUUAUUGAUGCGUGUCUGUUAGCUAGGAAGUUUAUCACCUUGUAACUACUCUACUGGGAGCUGCUCCCUGAACAGGCCUAAUCAGUGACCUGUUUCCAGCUCUGGAUGUUACUAGGAAGAGGAACCUACAGUUUGAACAGAUGGGUAAACAAUCUACCCUGAAGCUUCAUUUGAAGCCUGAAGAGAGCUUUAUUCUCAAAGCUGUUCAACUGGAGGAGCUGCUGGCAGUGCAUCACUCUGUGCUUGACGUUGGAAAUGCAGGAAUUGGAAAGAGUAAGGUACCUGCCUACCUAUGCAGCGUGUUUUCU